UAGAUUAGCCAGGGAUGCAUUGAUUACAGAGCGGGAUGCCGCCUUAUCUGUUAGGGAUGUGGCCAUUGCAUAUAGCACUUCAGUGAGAUCCCAGAUGACUGUCAGUCUUGUUGACAUGAGUGCUUACAUUGAUGAGCAUUAUGCCACCAUACAGUUAGCCUCUGAUCUGCUAGCUCGUGUAGAUAUCCUUGGGCAAGAGCUUACAGCUUUACCUCCGU
rnacentral:lncRNA from 1 species